rnacentral:rRNA from 1 species
GACGAACGCUGGCGGCGUGCUUAACACAUGCAAGUCGAACGGAAAGGCCCUGCUUUUGUGGGUUGCUCGAGUGGCGAACGGGUGAGUAACACGUGAGUAACCUGCCCUUGACUUUGGUAUAACUUCAGGAAACUGGGGCUAAUACCGGAUAGGAGCUCCUGCUGCAUGGUGGUGGUUGGAAAGUUUCGGCGGUUGGGGAUGGACUCGCGGCUUGUCAGCUUGUUGGUGGGGUAGUGGGUUACCAAGGCUUCGACGGGUAGCCGGCCUGAGCGGGUGACAGGCAACAUUGGGACUGAGAUACGGCCCAGACUCCUACGGGAGGCAGCAGUGGGGAAUAUUGCAAAAUGGGCGGAAGCCUGAUGCAGCAACGCCGCGUGCGGGAUGACGGCCUUCGGGUUGUAAACCGCUUUCGCCUGUGACGAAGCGUGAGUGACGGUAAUGGGUAAAGAAGCACCGGCUAACUACGUG